rnacentral:rRNA from 1 species
UACGUAGGGUGCGAGCGUUGUCCGGAUUUAUUGGGCGUAAAGAGCUCGUAGGCGGCCUGUUGCGUCCGCUGUGAAAGCCCGGGGCUUAACCCCGGGUCGGCAGUGGAUACGGGCAGGCUAGAGGUAGGUAGGGGAGAAUGGAAUUCCCGGUGUAGCGGUGAAAUGCGCAGAUAUCGGGAGGAACACCGGUGGCGAAGGCGGUUCUCUGGGCCUUACCUGACGCUGAGGAGCGAAAGCGUGGGGAGCGAACAGG